rnacentral:rRNA from 1 species
CCUACGGGAGGCAGCAGUGAGGAAUAUUGGUCAAUGGACGAGAGUCUGAACCAGCCAAGUAGCGUGAAGGAUGACUGCCCUAUGGGUUGUAAACUUCUUUUAUAUGGGAAUAAAAUGUUCCACGUGUGGGAUUUUGUAUGUACCAUAUGAAUAAGGAUCGGCUAACUCCGUGCCAGCAGCCGCGGUAAUACGGAGGAUCCGAGCGUUAUCCGGAUUUAUUGGGGUUAAAGGGAGCGUAGGUGGAUUGUUAAGUCAGUUGUGAAAGUUUGCGGCUCAACCGUAAAAUUGCAGUUGAAACUGGCAGUCUUGAGUACAGUAGAGGUGGGCGGAAUUCGUGGUGUAGCGGUGAAAUGCUUAGAUAUCACGAAGAACUCCGAUUGCGAAGGCAGUUCACUGGACUGCAACUGACACUGAGGUUCCUUGACCCGGGUAGUC